UGGGGGAUAUUGCACAAUGGGCGAAAGCCUGAUGCAGCGACGCCGCGUGGGGGAUGAAGGCCUUCGGGUUGUAAACUUCUUUUGCUCUGAACAAGGCAUGCCUUUGGGGUGUGUUGAGUGUGGGGGUUGAUUAGCGCCGGCUAACUACGUGCCAGCAGCCGCGGUAAUACGUAGGGCGCGAGCGUUGUCCGGAAUUAUUGGGCGUAAAGGGCUUGUAGGUGGCUGGUUGCGUCUGUCGUGAAAGCUCAUGGCUUAACUGUGGGUUUGCGGUGGGUACGGGCUGGCUUGAGUGCAGUAGGGGAGGCUGGAAUUCCUGGUGUAGCGGUGGAAUGCGCAGAUAUCAGGAGGAAUACCGGUGGCGAAGGCGGGUCUCUGGGCUGUUACUGACGCUGAGGAGCGAAAGCGUGGGGAGCGAACAGG
rnacentral:rRNA from 1 species